AUAAAUGUUUAGCAAAAUGCCUGAAGCCUAGGAGUUUUUUUGUGUACGGUGGCCGUUAUUACCACAUGAACUUGGGAAUCCAACAGGCUUUACCGCAAGGUUUCUUUGCUUCCAUUUAACAUGCCUCCAGUGCUUCAGAUACCUUUGUGGACUGUUUAUGCCUGUCUCAGGGUGAUUGUGAAAAUCAAAAUGUAUCUGUAUAUUCACCUAGUGAGUUGUAGCUGUUAUUGUUUAUAUCAUAUCUUUCACUCAAUGAAAUAAGAUAGCUUUUUAAGUAAUAAAAUAUAUACAGAGAGUUACACAUGCCAUUCUUUUGUUUUUAAAUAGCCUUGGACUCUGGAUAGCACCAUCAGUGAUGAGAACAGAGCUAUCAUUGAGAAAAUGCUGUUGGAAGAAGAGUAUCCUUCAUCAAUUAUGAGAAGAGUAAAGGUUUUAGGGCUAAAAAAGGAAUUGGUGCAAACAUUACAGAAGAGGCCACUGUGAUUAUUAGAUAAAGAUUGUUUGGCCACAGAUUUUGAUUGUGUAGUUUCAUGUCACUUAUCUGUGCAAAAAGCAUGGCUUACUGGUGAAUCUGAGACUGACACAACAAUUCUGAGUUUUUGUUGUUAGCCAACUCUGCAUGCAAAGUGUGCGUAAAUGCUUAGGAACGGUAGAAUAUUUAAGUCAGAAUCUUAAUUCUAAGUCUCCAUUUUCACAACCAUAUAAGCUAAAACUGAGAUACUUAUCUACGCAAGGUCAAGAACAUGUGGAACUGUGCAGCUUACAAAUGUUAUAUGAGAAGAAUUUUAAUGAAAGACAAAAUAGACUGAUUUUUAUCUCAGAGUUUGUAGGUCCUUAUCUGUGGCUCAGCAACAAACUGCGUAUUCUGCGCCAGUUUAACUUCGAGACUCAGUUUUCUUAUAUAUAGUUUUCUUUUAUAUGUAUCUUAUAUAUGAUAGGCUUAAACAGUAAUUUCUGAUUUUUUUUUGGCCUUUAAAAAUUGAUUACUAACAAAUACUGGCUUAUUUUUGUCUUUUCCAUAUUCAUUUUACAGAUUUCUGUCCACUAUUGCUGCUGGUGUUGUUGUUGUUGCUGUUAUUAUUAUUUAUGUGUGUUUUUGUUUGCAUGUAUGUCUGAAUCUCUUGUUCCUGGUACCUAUGGAUACCAGAAGAGGUGGUCAGAUCUCAGUUGAGAGCUGCCAUGUGGUUUCUGGAAUCAAACUUAGGCCUUCUGGAAUAGCAGUUAGUAUCUUAACCACAGCUCUGUUCACUAUCUAAUCCAGAAUUUCUGUUCCAACUGCUUCUGUUUGAAACAUUUGAAAUUUUUUUCUGUAUUUUUAAUUGCCAUUGGUUAGCCCCUUUUACCAAAUAUUACAGUUAUUGCUUAGAUUAUUUAUUUAAAUGAGAGGCACAUGUAAUCUCCAAUUUUCUAGUACCCUCUUUUAAAAUAAAAUAAAGUGAAAUAAAUGAAUUAUUAUAGCAUAUACUCUUUUAUAGUAUAUCUUAUUUAAAGUAUUAGCUUAUAUGAAAACAUUGUUUCUUUUUACGUGUGUGUGUGCAGGGGUAUGUUUGUGUGCACGUGUGUAUGCAAAGUCAGAGGUUGACUGUGGUUGUUUUCCUUAUUCACUAUCCACAUUCUUUUCUGAGGUGAGACUUCUUAUGAAUGUGAAGAUGACUGAUUUGGCUAGGUUGGCUAGCCAGUCAAAUGCUCUUGGGAGCCACUGCCUGCGCCCGUGCUAGGAUUGUGUGCACACAAACUGUUGCACCUAGCUUUGGACAUAGAGCCUAGGGAUCCUAAUUAUAUUCGCAUGAUUGUGUAGCAGGCACUGAUUGAGCCAUUUCCCCAGCCUCAAAUGAAAACAUCCGUGUUUCAUACUAAGUCUUUGGAAUCUACAGUACAUUUUAUUUUAGCACUAAAUAUCAGUUAAUGCUAGUUGUGUUCCAAAUGCUUGAUCCACACAUGUGACUAGUAGCCACCAUAUUGAACAGUGCAAGUCUAGGUUAUUGAACAGGAGUCCCUUGUUCACUUCCAAAUGUAGAAAUAAGUAGAGUAAGAGUUACUCAUAAGCAUUUGAGAAUAGAGAGGAAUAUAUGUGUUUGUGUGUGUGUCUCUAGCACAUAGCCUACUGUAUGACAUGCGGUUGGUAGUUGUUAAAUGAAGAAUGUUCAGACUUAGGGAAGAAGCUUUGUAGCAGGUUAGUUCCAGCGUCUCCGAAGGGAGUUUCUCGGUACAUUUGACGUUACUUGUAUUAAUGUGUAGAAGGAUCCUGAGUUCUUUUCUGUGACCUUUAAAUAUACAGAAACAUUGGUUCCUAAAUUCCCCUACACAACACAUUCAUCAGUUUACUACUUGUAUUUUAGAAAUGAAAAGGAUUGAUGCUAUUCUUUCUUGGCCACUUGUGGGAGGGAAGAGAAAGGAAAGCAGCAUUGCUAUGGUGCUGACUGCAGGAACUGUGUGGUGUGUUUGCUGUGUUAUUCCUACUGACGCUGUGGAAAGCACCAGCUUGCAGCCCUGGACAAGCUUGCAGCAGGAUAGCUUUUGAUUACAUUUGAUGUCUUUUACAAGUCUGUCUGCUUGAUGUCACAUAAGAAUUAUAUGCCUUUAAUAUUGUUUAAGUUUCCUUAAUAAUAUAUAGGUAUUAUUUAUCUAAUAAAUCACUUCCAGGAAAAUUCUGGGUUAAUCAAAAGGAGGAUAAUAAAAAAUACACAAACAGGUAAAAAUCAGUUUAUAGUUCUAUUAAAAGCUUUGAAUUGCAGUUUUAGAGACUUACCAGUUUCCUGUUUUCUGUUUUUCAUGUGCAGCCUGCAGAAGUCAUCAAAAGCCAUGUAUGUAUCUGUGUUUUUUAAAACCUUUUUAUUUUAAUGAUGUGUGUUCCCUUGUAUCUCUGUAUGGCUAUGUGUAUGAGUGCAGGUGCCCAUGGAGACCAGAGGUGUCCAGUCCAUUGGAACUGGAGUUACAGGCAGUUGUUGUAGCGUGAUAUGUGUGCUGGCAAUGGAGUACUGUAACUACUGAGCCUCCAAUCCCUUUUAAAACCUUUUUAGUUCAAUUG
rnacentral:lncRNA from 1 species